AAAGGGUACGUUCGCAAGUAAAGUCGGAACCAAAGAAUCAAGUUAAGGAAACUAAGCGAUCACGGUUGAGUCGUAAAAAGGGGGAGGAACAAGUGCUGUGGAGUGCAAGCUAGUAGCUAAUUAAGAAUAAAACUCUCGGAGGUUCAUGUCUUCACACAUGGACCGCGUUCUUUUGCUUCCGCUGUGUCGGUUAAGAGGCAGUGCCUACUUUAUGUUUGACUCUGAUAAUCAUAACUUGUAUGAACAACCACUCGAUCUUGCAUGAUCAAGUGUAUUUUGUUAUAAGUAUUUCUCUAUUUUGACGUUAA